GACGAACGCUGGCGGCGUGCUUAACACAUGCAAGUCGAACGGAAAGGCCCUGCUUCUGUGGGGUGUUCGAGUGGCGAACGUGUGAGUAACACGUGAGUCACCUGCCCUUGACUUUGGGAUAAUUUCAGGAAACUUGGGCUACUGCCGGUUAGGAGCUCCUGCUGCAUGGUGGGGGUUGGAAGGUUUCGGCGGUUGGGGAUGGACUCGGGGCUUAUCGGCUUGUCGGUGGGGUAGUGGCUUAGCUAGUCUGUGACCGGUGGCCGGCCUGAAAGGGUGACCGGCCACAUUGGGACGGCGAUUCGGGCCAGACGCCUACGGGAGGAAGCAGUGGGGGAUGGUGCACUAAGGGCGGAACGCUGAUGCAGCAACGCCGGGCGUCGGGUGACGGCCUUCGGUUUGUAGACCGCAUUCCCCUGGGACGAAGCGGGAGUGACGGUAAUGGGUAAAGAAGCACCGGCUAACUACGUG
rnacentral:rRNA from 1 species